UUUCCUCCUAUCAACUUUGCGGUCUGUUUAACUUCUCCACUGCUAAAGACCAAAGUUCAGAGCAUAGUUCCAACUUUAUAGUGGUCGACUCCCUUCAUUCAUGUGAACUUUCCUCAGAGAAGGCUGCAAAAAAAGCCAAGUAUCACACCUGUCACAAAAAUUCUUCGAGUCUUUCCAUUGAGUUCUUUAAGCAGAGCGGUUGGAGUGAUGCACAAGUCAUGAAACUUAUCCGGAAGUCACCGCUGUUGCUGCGUACUAAGGUAGAGACUGCCCUGAAGCCCAGAAUGAGAUCUUUGAAGGACAUGGGAUUUUCUGACACUGAAAUAGUUCAGCUGGUUUCAUCAUGUCCAUCUGUACUCCUUUUACGUGAUAUCCAACCAAAGAUCGACUUCUGGAGGUCACUACUUGGUUCUAAUGAGAGGUUACUGAAUGCCUCUAGGAGGAACAUGUUUCUACUUGGUUCUAGCAUGGAUCGGAAGAUAGAACCUAAUGUAUCUCUCUUAAGGGAAUGUGGCAUCAGUGACAAACGCAUCGUGUAUAUGGUGAUGACAACGCCGGCCAUUAUGGGUCGAUCAAACAAAUAUAUGAAGGAAGCUAUCAAAUUAGUUAAGGAGUUGGGUGUGCCAUGUAACUGUAGAAUGUUCCCUUAUGCACUUAGUAUGGUCACCGGCAUGAGCCGAUCCAGGUUUUAUGAUACCUUUGCAACCCUGAUGAACUUUGGGUUCUCCCUGCAAGACAUCAUAGCUGCAUUCAGGAAGCAUCCAACCAUUUGGUAUUUGUCGAAGAAGAACAUAUGUGACAAGAUGACUUUCCUGUUGAAGGAAGCUGGUUGUGAGCUGACAUAUAUCAUUUCCCAUCCUGUGAUUCUUGCAUACAGCUUGGAGAAGAGGUUGAAACCUCGAUAUGCAAUUCUGAAUUUUCUUGAGCAGAAUAAAUUGCUGGAUAAAGUAUAUAGCCUGAUGUCCGUGAUAAUGCUAUCGGAAAAGAAGUUCCAAAAUAAAUUUCUUUUCCUGCUUCGCGAGGAGAAAUCUAUUGCUCUAUAUGAUUCCUAUUUGAAAUCUGUUGCUCAAUAGGAUUCCUAUGUUGCUGCUGGGCAUGGAAAGCACCAUGUUGUUUGGGAAAAUUAGGAUUGCAUGUGCUUCCUCAGACAAAGUGUCAACUUAUUGCACACUUAUUUAAUCAUGUUAAAUUUGUGACAAUUUAAAUUCUCCAAGGAGCUUCUUUUCUUUUAUUCUUUGGUACAACAAAAGAUACGGAUUCUUUUAUGCAGAAAUAUAGUGAACCAACGGGGAGAAGUCUUACUUAAGAAAGAUAUAAAGGUAACUAAAAUGUUUCAACUCUGUCAGCUAUCUGUGUCAACUUGGCAUCAGUCGUAUUAAUUUAGAUGAUUAAGAACUUGUUAAUUAUGUGAGUAUGAAUAGGGACUAAUAUAUGAUAGUAAAGAGUUAAUUGUGUGAGGGCUUUCUUUGUCAGAAUCCCAUCACCUCUCCACCGGCUCUAAAUUACAUCUCUAUUUAUAUGGAAUGAAACCUCUAUUGUUACAUGUUGUUAAUCAUGCACUAAUAUAUGAUAGUUAAGUGUGAUUUAUUGAAGAUAUCGAUUUACUAUAUACUAUUGUUGAAAAAUGAACCCACGAGAGUAAUACCUUUCGAUUUAUUGUUGGAGCGCACUAACGAAUAUUCAGUUAUGCAAAGAUGAUUAUUAUAAUAUGAUGAUUGAAUUUUGUGUAUACUAUGGUACAUUAGUGCAUGUGGCAAUUAUGAGAUUUAUUAGAUAGUAUCAACAUGCACUAUUGUAAGAGGCCCCGUGAGAUCAACGUGCACUAUUGUGAGAUUUAUUAUAUAGUAUCAACUGUCACCUCUCUCUCCCUCUCUCUCUCUCUUUCUCAGCCCGUGACUGCAUGCAUGCAUCCCAAUAUUCGUUCUAGUCAUCGUUCUAGUCAUAUCCAGACAUACUCACACAUUAAGAAUUUAAGAGUCAUCGGUUCAUCUCAAGCUUGCUUCUUAAUGUUCAAUUUAAUGCACUAAGCAAUAGAUAUGGUUUAAGGUAACAACACUCUCUCGAGUGAAGUGAACGGGUCUCGGCGCCCCCCUGAUUCAAAUCAGAGAGGACUAUAUUGGAUCUGAGCACAACAUAAGUCACUGGAUCUGGUUCGAUGGAACCAAAUGAAGGACUCUCCUCUCUCACACACAACUAUAUCAAUGGCCACGCGUCCAAUGAGAAGACUCGUGGAAACCUAAUCAGCCACCGGCGGCACCGUCUUCCUCUCCAUCCGCGAAUGGCGGCGGCAGCAAUGUCUUCCUCAGCGGGCUCAUCGUUGGUAUCUUUCUCCUCCUCCUCCUCCUCCUCAUCCUUUGCCGUCGCCCACUCUGCCCCAACCGCCUCCCUCCAUCUUCCCGCCCCCACCUUCGCCGUAGCCCCCCCGCGACCGGCGUCUGCCCCUGCCUCUUCCUUUCCCCUCGUCGUAGCCGUCUUACCCCUUCCUUCCUGCGCCGGCGUUUUCCCUUCUCCUCCCUACGUCGGCGUCUUCUUUCAUUGUAUCAUCCUUUCACCCCCGCAGCGUCUUCUCCCCCCUUCGCUUCGCUGCAGCCGCUUGAUAAGACCCUAAGGUUUUAUCAGGGAAAAAAUUGGGAGAAAAGGGGACGAUCACUUCGAGAUGAUCGGCCUCCUUGAUCACUUCGAGGGGAUCGUCGACGGGAACUUGUCUUCGUGCCCGGCACCCAGUGUGCAGCUGUUUGUUCAACAUUCUAAAGUUUUUGUUUUUCUCAUUUAUCUCUUUUCUCUUAUGCACGCAAAGUGUUCGCUGAAUGGCUUUUAAAGCUUUUCUUUUUGUGGGACGUCGGGACUUGUCCGUUGUUUAUUCUUCGAACUAAUCAACUUUUUCUUAUGCACGCAAGGUGUUCGCUGACCUUUGCGGACACAUAUCACAAGGGCACGUCAUGACUUUGGCAAUCCCAAUUAAGUCCAAGAAGUUGACGCAACGGCGCUUUGCGACUUAGGCAACUCAAGCCAAAUUUGUGUCUUGGCCGCAAGGGUGCCUCACGACUUAGGCAAUUCCAGUUAAGUCCGUGACAAGGCGACGGUGAAGAAGGAGGCAACGAGGGUCACGGUUGGGAUGUGUUGGCCGGGAGCAGUGGCGGUGGCGGUUGCUGGCCGAAGAUGCAAGGCUGACCCUGUUUUGGUCGCCGCGAGGAGGAGAGGUCGAGCGGCUGCGGUUGCGAUUGCGACCCAAGGGGGGGCGGGCGACGGUGGAGAAGGAGGCAGCGAGGUUCACGACUGGGAGGUGGGCGACGGUCAUCGUUGGCCGGGAACUUGCUGUGGUGGAGAGGGGAAAGAGGGAUGCUCUGUUUCUAUCGCACCACAGCAGGAGCCACUGGCGAUGUCGAAGGAUCGCGAGCGGUUGAGGAGAAGGCUGGCAACGGUGGUGGCUCGGGUGGGAGGUGACGGGCGACGGUGGACUCUGGCCGGGGAGCGGGGCUGUGGUGGGAUGGGACAUUGGCAGCGUCGUCUCCUGGCAGCGGUGGUGGCUUGGGUGGGAGGCAACAGGCGAUGGUGGACUCCGGCCGGGAAGCAGGGCGGUGGUGGUAGCGGCGGUGGGGUUGGUUGGAAGUAGGGAAAGUAUGAGCCCUUUCCACCAGCGACAGUGGUGGAGGAGAGGGGAAGCAGGGGUUCUCGGUUGUGCGUGGCUGCGCCCCCUUUUUUUUUUUUUAUGAUAACUACAACGAGGACUCCGAGGAUCGCUGCUCUGAUACCAAAUGAUAAGACCCUAGGGUUUUAUUAUGGAAAAAAAGGGAGAAAAGGGGAUGAUCACUUCGAGGGGAUCGACCUCCUAGGGUUUGUCAAAAGACUUAAUAAUAUUUCAUUGUCUCCGAAAAGAAACGAUUACAUCAUUAUUUAUAGAGUUCCACUUAGAAUCCAUCACGACUUGGACUCUUAAUAAUAAAUAAAUAUUAAAUAAAUUUCUAUCCGAUUCUAACUGAAUUAAACAUACUCAAUAAACAUUAUUCAAAAGUUUAGAAAAUAAAAAGGAUCCUAACAUCGCCCCAGCAACCCAACCGACAUUGACAACCAUUCUAACCCGUACCUCCUCCUCCUCCUCGGAUCCUUCAUCCUUGACCCCCUCCCAACUGACAACAACCCCCUCUUCAUCCUCCUCCUUCUAUGUAAAUUGUUUUAUUAAUAUAGAUUUGAACAAGUAUUAUUUGGUCCUUUAAAUGAUUACCAUGUUUCUUUUUUUGUUUUAGCGAUUAUAUCUAUUAAUCAUGAUAUAUACUUUUAAAAUUUUAAGAAGCAUCUCUCUUCACUUGGGCCAGCGCCUAGCCAAGCACCUAGCAUCUCAGGCGUUUUGACACUUUGGCGUCGUUUAGUGUCUCUCACCCGCGACCACACUGCUAUAGCACAACUUGGUUCACUUGUUUGGUUCCAUUUAAUUAUUCAGACCCAUGCAUGUUGCCACACUUGGUUGAUGUUAGUUUUCAUGCUUGGUCCUUUAUGUGCAUGUUUGAAUUCAUCUGAACCAAAUUGAGCACAUCACAGCUCCACAAAAAAAUCAUUGGAUUUGAGCUGCAUUGGUUAUAUAUGUAUUCUAAAAAUGUUAUGAGAUUCAAGUGAGAUUGUCUUGAUUCAAUUUUAACCUAAACAUGUUUCAGCUGCAUUCCCUCGCAACAAGUUCUAUGCAUAAACUAACCUGUCCAUGAGUCCCUCAUGCAUAAUGUCUGCCUGCAUAUACAUGUUUGAUUGCAUGCCAUUAUCUUAUUGUAUCAAUCUUUUGAUCCUAUUAUUAUUUUUUUUGUUGCUUACCACAUAAGUCGGUUGGUUCUAAAAUGGUUAUGAAUGGCAAAGAAGUUUGUAAUAUGACUUUUGUUUAUCGUUACCUAUUUGUUGCUCAGACAUAAUAAUAUAUGUGCAAUUUAGUUAUCAGAUAGAACCACACACAUGGGAACAUUGCACAUAUUUCUUGUCUGUUUUUGGCUCUUGUGGUAACUUCAUCACAUAAGUGCUGAUUCCGGUGUCUUGCAUUGAACCACAGUAAUGAAUUGCUGGACCUCCUUUCGCAUGUAUUUACUAAUUAUGCAUACAGAAUGCAUUUAUAUAUUUGAUUUUGUGGCUAACGGAUUGUCUAUAUUAAUGGGAUUUGGAGAGGGCAGUUAGGUACUAGAAGCUAUUAGGAGCUGUCACUGUAUCUUCAUGCUAUCCUCUUCACAUCGAAGCUCUCAUUUUUCUUUUUUGUUGUUGUACAUGCCUCUGGAUCGUUCAUCAAUCAAUGUGAUUUUGUAUUUUGCUGUGCUUAGAUUUUAUUUUUCAUUUUUUUCUUCUUUUCAUUUCUUUGCUAUGAGAUGGUAGAUUUGUGCCUUGGCGGUCAUUAUAAACUGUGGUUUCAUUUUACAUUUUGAAACAUUAGUCAUUUUGGCAUCCAAAAUAAUUUUAUGUGACAUUUCAAAUUUCCUAUGACAUCAAUUACUUUGUUUUGUUCUUGAACAUUGGUACAGUGACAUGGUAUAAGUGAUCUUUUAUACAUGCUCAUUUGGUGAUCAUUGUAACUCGUAAAGGAGGUCAUGAAAAUAAUUUUGACUAAUAUUAGUUUAAAUUUACUUUACUUGAUUGUGGCCCAGAUAAUGUAAUCAAAUGUGGUGCUCGGCAUUUGAAAAUUUUCUUAUUAUACAAUAUCUCCAAUGAUGCGUAUUUAGUGACAACUGAAUUAAUUUCUGGCUCUUGGAUAUGAGCUGGUUCAGAACUGACCUUAGAUGGUGAAUUUUUCAAUCUCAGAUGUUCAAUGUUCUGAAAAUGCAUGCAUGUCAUUUACGAGCAUUUACUUUGGAGAAACAGCAAGCAACAACAUGCAAGUUAAAUACUGUUUAUUAAGAUGGACAGCAGGAGAAGUGCUGCUUUUAGAGAUAGAAAAGAGAAUUGGAAAGUUUUUUGACAAAAAAAAAGCUUGGAAAAGAUUGAACAAGAGAUAGCAGAGACUGUAAUUGUGUUACUGGCCAAAGAAAAUUAUAUUCAUUUGUCAAUAGAAUCAUGCAUACGUCUGGUGAUUCCUCAUGUGAAGGAUUUUAUUUAUAAAUAUAUCUGAGAUAGUACUAAUCUGAUUAGGUUUCCCAAAAGAAGCCCUCUAAACAGCAGCUGCUUGCUUUGAUAAAAGUGUUUGGUUCAUCAAACCUCUUAGUUUCCUUAUUAUGCCUACCACCACAAUUUCCUUUUCAAACACACCAAAACAUUUCAACAAUCAUCAAAACCCCAAAUGGUUCAAAGGACUUGACUCUCACUAAAAGUACAAGCUGAGCAAACAAUUAGAAUGUGACUUGAUUUCCAAACCCCAAAGUAGACCCAAAAUUUCAAUGUGUUUGGUUAGGUGUAACCUUACAUCUUUAUGUCGGCAUAGUGUGGUCUCCUCUGCAGGCUGAUAACAACUCUCUUGGCAACUUGAUACAUGUUUGUACCUCAAAAGAUAUUGGUGUUCUUAUAUUUGAAUUACCAUUCCUGUAUUUCUACUAGUAGCAAUAGAAAAAUAUUUGAAUUUUCUUAAUUCAACCACAGAUGUUUUCUUACACAGAAUUCAUUGAUGCAAAGGAUGCAUAUAGCGGAUAUGACUUUUAUUAUUGUUGUGCUUGUUUGCACUUGCUCGUUUUAUUGGCAAAUUCUCACAGAUCUAGGUUAUGUUGGUGAAACUUCUCAGUAAGAAAUAUUUCUUCCUUAUUAAUGACAUCAAGGUAUUUUUAAUACUGUAGCUGAAGCUAUUUGCACGAGCUGUCUUUCUCUAAAAUUAAGUUCCUUUAUCAACAUUGAACCAAAUAAACUAGUAGCCUUUCUUGAUCGAGGCACCUUUCUUACCUCUUGGUUCAUUUUAUGGAAAAUUUGUUGCCUUUCUCAGGUCUUUCAGCUAAGUUGCAAUUUUUUGUCUAGUUGUAUUAACAAUGUCUUUUCUACUUACCAGUCUUUCUAGUUGUAGUAGGAAUUAGUGAUCUCUGAAAGAAAUGGCUAAUGGAAACUGAAUGCAGGUGGGUUAACGUGAGUGGUAGACGAAUGUCCUCUGAUCAGAUGAUUAGUUGAAAGUUUUCAACUUCCUUUUGGUUGGAAGCAGAUACAGAAAAUAUAUUAGUUUGGGUGCCCUUGAUUCGAGGUAGAAGAGGAAGCUGAACAUAGAGCAGGCAGCAAUAAGACUACUUUUCUUGUAUUUUUCUGCAAACAGUACGUGAUACUGCUUCAAAAGAUCAUGUUUUUGGUGCAAAAGAGGCUCUUUCGCUGUCUCCCAAGUAACAAGUCCACUAUCCAUCUUUCCUCCCAUCAACUUUGCAAUCUGUUUAACUUCUCCACUGCUAAAGACCAAAGUUCAGAGCAUAGUUCCAACUUUAUAGUGGUCGACUCCCUUCAUUCAUGUGAACUUUCCUCAGAGAAGGCUGCAAAAAAAGCCAAGUAUCACACCUGUCACAAAAAUUCUUCGAGUCUUUCCAUUGAGUUCUUUAAGCAGAGCGGUUGGAGUGAUGCACAAGUCAUGAAACUUAUCCAGAGGUCACCGCUGUUGCUGCGUACUAAGGUAGAGACUGUCCUGAAGCCCAGAAUGAGAUCUUUGAAGGACAUGGGAUUUUCUGACACUGAAAUAGUUCAGCUGGUUUCUUCAUGUCCAUCUGUACUACUUAUACGUGAUAUCCAACCAAAGAUCAACUUCUGGAGGUCACUACUUUGUUCUAAUGAGAGGUUACUGAAAGCCUCUAGGAGGAACUUGUUUCUACUUACUUCUAGCUUGGCUCGGAAGAUAAAACCUAAUAUAUCUCUCUUAAGGGAAUGUGGCAUCAGUGACAAACUCAUCGCGAAUAUGGUGGUGACAGGGCCAGCCAUUUUGGGUCGAUCAAACAAAUGUAUGAAGGAAGCUAUCAAAUAUGUUGAGGAGUUGGGUGUGCCACGUAACUGUAGAAUGUUCCCUUAUGCACUUAAAAUAGUCGCUGGCAUGAGCCGAUCCAGGUUUGAUGCUACCUUUGCAACCCUGAUGAACUUUGGGUUCUCCCAGUCAGACAUCAUUGAUGUAUUCAGGAAGCAACCAACCGUUUGGGUUUUCUCAAAGAAGAACAUUUGUGACAAGAUGACUUUCCUGAUGAAGGAAGCUGGUUGUGAGCUGACAUAUAUCAUUUCCCAUCCUGCGAUUCUUAUAUACAGCUUGGAGAAGAGGUUGAAACCUCGAUAUGAAAUUCUGAAUUUUCUUGAGCAGAAUAAAUUGCUGGAUAAAGUAAAUGGCCUGAUAACCAUGAUAAUGCUAUCGGAAAAGAAGUUCCGAAAUAAAUUUCUUUUCCUGCUUCGCGAGGAGAAAUAUAUUGCUCUAUAUGAUUCCUAUGUUGCUGCUGUGCAUGGAAAGCGCCAUGUUGUUGUGGAAAAUUAGGAUUGCAAGUGCUUCCUUAGACAAAGUGUGAACCUAUUGCAUACUGACUGUAUUAUUUAAUCAUGUAAAAUUUGUGACAAUUUAAAUUCUCUAAGAGUUACUUCUUACGGUAGAACGUCCAUGUUGAUUUUGAGAUUUCUUUUCUCUUUAUUCUUCGGUACAACAAAAGAUACUGAUUCUUUAAUGCAUAAAUAUAGAGAACCAAGGGGGAGAAGUCAUUAUUUAAGAAAGAAACAAAGGUAACUAAAAUAUUUCAGAUCUGUCGGUUGGUCAGUGUCCACUUCAUUGAGAGCGAGUUAAUUAGGAGAGUAUGAUUUGAAGAUAUCCUCCAACCCUUAUAAAUAUGCAUGUGAUCAACGUGCUCUAUUGUGAGAUUUAUUAUUAUAGUAUCAACUGUCACCUCUCUCUCUGUCUCUCUCUCUCAGCCCGUGACUGCAUGCAUCCCAAUAUUCGUUCUAGUCAUAUCCAGACUCACACAUUAUGAAUUUAAGAGCCAUCGGUCCAACUCAAGCUUGCUUCUUAAUGUUCAAUUUAAUGCACUAAGCAAUAUAUAUGCUUUAAGGUAACAACACUCUCUCGAGUGAAGUGAACGGGCCUCGGCGCCCACCUGAUUCAAAUCAGAGAGGACUAUAUUGGAUCUGAGCCCAACAUAAGUCACUGGAUCUGGUUCGAUGGAACCAAAUGAAGGACUCUCCUCUCUCACACACAACUAUAUCGAUGGCCACGCGUGCAAUGAGAAGACUCGUGGAAACCUAAUCAGCCACCGGCGGCACCGUCUUCCUCUCCAUCGGCGAAUGGCGGCGGCAGCAAUGUCUUCCUCAGCGGGCUCAUCGUUGGUAUCUUUCUCCUCCUCCUCCUCCUCCUUUGCCGUCGCCCACUCUGCCCCAACCGCCUCCCUCCAUCUUCCCGCCCACACAUUCGCCGCCAGCGUCCCCUCUUCUUCGCCUCGUCGUAGCCGUCUUCCCCCUUCCUCCCUGCGCCGGCGUUUUCCCUUCUCCUCCCUACGUCGGCGUCUUCUUUCAUUGUAUCAUCCUUUCACCCCCGCGGCCAGCGUCUUCUCCCCCCUUCGCUUCGCUGCAGCCGCCCCAGCAACCCAACCGACAAAGACAGCCACCUCAACCCACAGCAACCUUCUCCCGUACCUCCUCCUCCCUCUCCUUCUCCUCGGAUCCUUCAUCCUUGCCCCCCUCCCAACUGACAGCAACCCCUUCUUCAUCCUUCUCCUUCUACGUAAAUUGUUUUUUUGAUAUAGAUUUGAACAAGUAUUAUUUGGUCCUUUAAAUGAAUACUAUGUUUCUUUUUUUUGUUUUAGCGAUUACAUCUAUUAAUCAUGAUGUAUACUUUUAAAAUUUUAAGAAGCAUCUCUCUUCACUCGGGCGUGGAAAGAAAUGGCUAAUGGAAACUGAAUGCAGGUGGGCUAACGUGAGUGGUAGACGAAUGUCCUCUGAUCAGAUGAUUAGUUGAAUGUUUUCAACUUCCUUUUGGUUGGAAGCAGAUACAGAAAAUAUAUUAGUUUGGGUGCCCCUGAUUUGAGGUAGAAGAGGAAGCUGAACAUAGAGCAGGCAGCAAUAAGACUACUUUUCUUGUAUUUUUCUGCAAACAGUACGUGAUACUGCUUCAAAAGAUCAUGUUUUUGGUGCAAAAGAGGCUCUUUCGCUGUCUCCCAAGUAACAAGUCCACUAUCCAUCUUUCCUCCCAUCAACUUUGCAGUCUGUUUAACUUCUCCACUGCUAAAGACCAAAGUUCAGAGCAUAGUUCCAACUUUAUUGUGGUCGACUCCCUUCAUUCAUGUGAACUUUCCUCAGAGAAGGCUGCAAAAAACUCCAAGUAUCACACCUGUCACAAAAAUUCUUCGAGUCUUACCAUUGAGUUCUUUAAGCAGAGCGGUUGGAGUGAUGCACAAGUCAUGAAACUUAUCCAGAAGUCACCGCGGUUGCUGCGUACUAAGGUAGAAACUGUCCUGAAGCCCAGAAUGAGAUCUUUGAAGGACAUGGGAUUUUCUGACACUGAAAUAGUUCAGCUAGUUUCAUCAUGUCCAUCUGUACUAAUACGCGAUAUCCAACCGAAGAUCAACUUCUGGAGGUCACUACUUGGUUCUAAUGAGAGGUUACUGAAAGCCUCUAGGAGGAACAUGUUUCUACUUACUUCUAGCUUGGCUCGGAAGAUAGAACCUAAUAUAUCUCUCUUAAGGGAAUGUGGCAUCAGUGACAAACGCAUCGCGUAUAUGGUGGUGACAAAGCCGACCAUUAUUGGUCGAUCAAACAAAUAUAUAAAGGAAGCUAUCAAAUAUGUUGAGGAGUUGGGUGUGCCAUGUAACUGUAGAAUGUUCCCUUAUGCACUUAGUAUAGUCACUGGCAUGAGCCGAUCCAGGUUUGAUGAUACCUUUGCAACCCUGAUGAACUUUGGGUUAUCCCGGCAAGACGUCAUUGCUGUAUUCAGGAAGCAUCCAACCAUUUGGGUUUUGUCAAAGAAGAACAUAUGUGACAAGAUGACUUUCCUGAUGAAGGAAGCUGGUUGUGAGCUGACAUAUAUCGUUUCCCAUCCUGUGUUUCUUGCAUGCAGCUUGGAGAAGAGGUUGAAACCUCGAUAUGAAAUUCUGAAUUUUCUUGAGCAGAAUAAAUUGCUGGAUAAAGUAUAUGGCCUGCUGUCCCUGAUAACGUUAUCUGAAAAGAAGUUCCGUAAGAAAUUUCUUUUCCUGCUUCGUGAGGAGAAAUCUAUUGCUCUGUAUGAUUCCUAUUUGAAAUCUGUUGCUCUAUAGGAUUCCUAUGUUGCUGCUGGGCAUGGAAAGCACCAUGUUGUUUGGGAAAAUUAGGAUUGCAUGUGCUCCCUCAGACAAAGUGUGAACUUAUUGCACACUUAUUUAAUCAUGUUAAAUUUGUGACAAUUUAAAUUCUCCAAGGAGCUUCUUUUUCUUUUGUUCUUUGGUACAACAAAAGAUACGGAUUCUUUUAUGCAGAAAUAUGGAGAAGUCUUUACUCAAGAAAGAUAUAAAGGUAACUAAAAUAUUUCAACUCUGUCAGCUAUCUGUGUCAACUUGGCAUCAGUCAUAUUAAUAAACUUCAUGAUUCUGUUGGAAUAUGUGAAGCUGAUGACAGUGCUGUCAUUUAGAUGAUUGAGAUCUAGUUAAUUAUGAGAGUAUGAAUAAGGACACUUGAAGGUAGCCAUUCCCAAAUGUAUGUAUGACAUUAAAUGUAUUUGAUUUGAAAAUAUCCUCUAACCCUUAUAAAUAGUUGUAGUCAUGAUAUAUGAAAUGUGCAGAGAGAAAUAUAGUUGUGUGAGGACUCUUCUUUGUCAUAAUCCCAUCACCUCUCCACCGUCCCUAAAUUAUAAAUCUCUAUCUAUAUAUGAGCCUCUCUUGUUACAUGUUAUUAAUCUUUGAGUAGUAUAUGAUAGUAGAGUGUGACUUGUUGAAGAUAUCGACUCACUAUGCCAUCCAUAAUAUAUAUUCUAAUACAUGAUUCAUAACCUAUGUUGUACAGUAAGUGGUGUCACUGGUUAUGCUCGCUCAUGAUUUGUAGUACAUAUAUAACUGAUAUAUGAAAAGAAUAAGAAUUUUUUUAAAAAUAAUUUUAAAAUAUUUUUGCCAUCCUUUUGAAGCAUAUCAUGCUUGAGUGAUACCUAUUUUAUCUCACAUAUGCAUGUACAUGUUUAAUGCAUGGUAAAUGAUUCAUAUUCCUAUUGAUACAUUUAUGGAAUCAUCAUGUAUAUGUAGGUGCGUGCUUGAUGCAUGAUCGACAGACAUAUGAGUUAUCUACUUAGGUUGGUAUAGAGAUCAUGGUUAUACCCCCGUAUGAUAGAAGCUUUACGCCCAUCAUGCAAUAUGUAGCACUCAUUGGGUCGAAUACUUAUUUCACUCUGCAAGUAUGAUCUAUUGUCUUGUGAUUAUACGAUUGAUUGAUUCAACUAACAAUAGAAUAAUAUGAUCAUAUAAUGGUAUAGUUAUGUAAUGAUAUGUUACAAAAUGGCAUGCGAGUCUAAUAAGAUAAAAGAAUCUGGAUGAUCCUUAUCAAUUAUAGGAGGGCUACUACAUUAAAGUGCAAUUCUUUUUAGGGAUUAGUAAGUCAUUAGAUGUAGUAAUUAGAUAAUUUUUCUAUCUAUCGUUGGAAAAUGAACUCAGUCCAUCGGAAUAAUACCUUUCUAUCUAUCGUUGGAGUGCACUAUCGGAUAUUCGGCUAUAUAAAGAUGAUUAUUAUAAUAUGCUUAGAUGGUUAAAUUUUAUGUAUACUAUGGUACAUCAUGCGAUAAUUAUGAGACUUAUUAUGUAGUUUAUUUUUAUUCGUUUAUCGAAAGAAGUAUCCAUCAAUGACAAAUAUGGAUGAAGUACAUAGAUAUGACUAACUAUAUUUGUCGAUAAUAUCAUAUGCAUUUUGUGAUGUGAAUAUGAACAUUAAUUAAUCAAAUGAUUUUAUAUUUUUAUUUAUUAUUCUCUAACUUGUAUAUUAUAUACAUAGUUAAUUCAUUAUGAAAAUGUUGUUAUUAUCUUUUCUCGAACACUAUUGCCUAAGAGCAUGUGUUUAUCCAAAACUAUUUUUACAGAUUUCAGUAAAAAAUAUUUAAAAAUAGUAUGUUGAUAGUUUCAAAGUUAACAAGCAAACAAAGUCGUUAUCGGGGGAGUGAGAUUAUAUUGAAACAAUAAAUAUAAACAACUCUGUGUAAUAAAUUCAUUUAUAAUAAGGAGUUAUUUGUAAGAUAAAAAAAAUAUUAAAUUGUUUUUUUAUUUUUCGAUAGAAAAGACUUCAUCUUUCUGGUUAGGUUAAUUUUGUGAGCGAAGACGGCCGUGUUGUUGUCUACUCGUUCGGCCGCUCUCAUUCGCCAUCGAUUUGGUCUCCAACUCGCGGCCCAAAACCCCGAGCCUCCCCGCGUUCCCUUACAAUCUCGCUUCUCGGAAGAGCAACGGCAGCCAGGCGGCGGAUGACUACCAUGCUGCGAGAGUUGCGGCUGUCGCUGAACCAAACCCAGCGGGUGCGCCUUCAAUCCGCUCUCCAGCGGCUCCAGGACAUGGCUUCCCUCGCCUCCGCCGUUACCGUCGUCGCCGACACCAUCCCCGUCAACCACGAAGACAGCAUCCUUAAGUGUGUGCGCUUUCUGACCCAUAAGAACCUUCGUUCUCUCUCUCUCUCUUCCUCCUCCAUCUUCUUCUUGGUUUUCUCCACAUCCUCCUCUCUCCUUGCGAACUGUUUUAAUCAUCUCCUUCGUCCUUCUUUUCCAUGUUUCGGUGAAGAUUUGCAGUCAUUUUGUCUUCUGUUAAUGGUCUUUUUGUUGCGGUCGUCCCUAUUUAUCUUACGCUUUCCUCCUAUCUCAUGGUUGCUCCUGAAUUCGUGUGAUGGUCAGGGGCCAUGGGACGUCCGAUCUCAACGGCGAAGUAGUGGCCACUCUCUGUGGUGUGGUUGAGCGAGUAAACAAACUGGUGUAUGUCCGUGCUCAGAGAGCCAGGUACUGAUACUGUGCCUUCCUCUUCUCCUAAUUUUGCACUAUUUCUGUUCUUGAUGUUGUAAUCCUUUAUGCUUGUUAAAUGUUCUGUUUAGUUGGUCAAGAAUCAUCAUGCUGCAUGACUUAGUCGAUUGUAUCCGUAUAUUUUCUUAAUUCUCUUUUGUACUAAUUUGCAAAAAAUCCUUGAUUCAUAGACACCCAGGUCAAGUGCGUCAACUACAAUAAGAUUCUUUGUUUUUCCAAUACUCCACUUAUCAACCGCAUUGAUUUCUUUUAGCAGAAGAAUUUGUUGUAACUAAAGUGCUGUAUUGUCUCUCAGUGAGGACAUCUGUUUAGUGACUAGAUGAUGCUGUCUUUCUUCCUCAUAUGAUAUGUUUGAUUUGUUGUUUCAUGACUUACAAAUGAAAAUUUAUUUUCCUUGUAGGUACAAACCAGAGGUUGGAGAUAUAAUCGUCGGCCGAGUCAUUGAGGUCUUGUUGCUUUAUGAUAAAUCUAUAUAUACAUUUCUUUUUGCUAUCACAUAAAAUAUAUAAACAAUUUAUCAUUAUCUGAAUUAUAAUAAGACAAAAAAAAAUCUUAUUUAAGAUGGUUAUCAGUGGAUAUUUGACUAUCAUAAAAUUAUAAUAUAUGUGCAGUCAGCAGUAAAUCGUCAAUUGACUUAGCAACAUGUCUUGUAAUAUUUCCUCUUUUCAUUUUCAUCUGUUAUUUUGUUAAAUGAUUCUACAUUGUGUCUUGUAGAUUGCUCCAAAACGCUGGAGAUUAGAGAUAAAUUUUAGUCAAGAUGCAGUAUUGAUGCUUUCGUCAAUGAAUCUUCCAGAUGGUAUUCAGGUGAGAUCAAAUUCUUGUCUCCUCUUCAAGCUCUGAGCUCUUCAUAUAUUGGAGAACAGAGGUUCUUAUUUUUAUAUUUAUUAUAUUGUGUCAGGUUAUCACUACAUAACCAAUUAUAAACAAUUCAGAAGUUCUCGCAUCUUGUAUAACAUGGAUUUUAUAAUAGAGCUACUGUUGGUGCAUGCUAAAAGAACUGUUUGUUGUACCUAUGUUAGUAAUUUCAUCAAGAAAGUAAUGUGCAUCUGACUGCAGAAUAUCUGGGUGAGGAGCACCAAAAAUUUCCCAAUGUGGUAUCUGACUCUAGAUGAUAAAAUGAUUAUCUAUAAAGCACCUGCAGCAUAUCUAUAUUUGAAUGGUUUACUGUAACUUAUCAUUGUUCUUGGACAACAUGGAAAGCACAGUGAUGAAUCUGUAAACCAAUAAAAAGUACGGGAAGUGAUGCCUUGCUGAUUAGGAUUUUUUUUUGGGAAUUUGAUUUGUUGUAUAAUGCAUAGUCCUGAUAUUUGAAAUCUAAUAAACAUCUUUAGGUGAAGUAGAGACAAAAUAUUUAUAUAUGUCUUUACUUAAUGCUACAAUAUGAUUUAUAUUUUUUGACAAUGAAAAUUGAACUGUAUAUUUGCUGCCACAAUAACUGUACACAUGCAUGCUUAUUGUUGAAUCUGUAUUUAUUGUACAAUCUUGUGUUAGGCAGCUGAUAGCUAGUGUAAGACUUACCUCCUUAGGCUUGGGGCCUUAACUCUUUUUUUUAUUGUUGUUAAUGUUUCUUGACACUAUCAUGUAAUGUCAUGGUGGCAUCAGUUAAAUAACUUCAUAGCAACAUUAACAAUGAACACAUUAAUGAAGGGA
rnacentral:lncRNA from 1 species